rnacentral:rRNA from 1 species
UUGACCUCGAAUCAGGUAGGGAUACCCGCUGAACUUAAGCAUAUCAAUAAGCGGAGGAAAAGAAACCAACCGGGAUUACCCUAGUAACGGCGAGUGAAGCGGUAACAGCUCAAAUUUGAAAUCUGGCUCCCUGCGGAGUCCGAGUUGUAAUUUGUAGAAGAUGCUUUGGGUGCUUGGCCCGGCCUAAGUUCCUUGGAACAGGACGUCGUAGAGGGUGAGAAUCCCGUAUGCGGCCAGUGUCCGGCGCCCGUGUAAAGCUCUUUCGACGAGUCGAGUUGUUUGGGAAUGCAGCUCAAAAUGGGUGGUAAAUUUCAUCUAAAGCUAAAUAUGGGCCAGAGACCGAUAGCGCACAAGUAGAGUGAUCGAAAGAUGAAAAGCACUUUGGAAAGAGAGUUAAACAGUACGUGAAAUUGUUGAAAGGGAAGCGCUUGCAACCAGACUUGGGCGUCGCUGAUCAUCCAAAGACACUCUUUGGUGCACUCGACGACGCACAGGCCAGCAUCGGUUGGAGUGGUGGGAGAAAGGUUGCCGGAACGUGGCUCUUUUCGGAGAGUGUUAUAGCCGGCGACGCAAUACCGCCUACCCCGACCGAGGACCGCGCUUUGGCUAGGAUGCUGGCGUAAUGGUUGUAAGCGACCCGUCUUGAAACACGGACCAAGG